rnacentral:rRNA from 1 species
UACGUAGGGGGCGAGCGUUGUCCGGAAUUAUUGGGCGUAAAGCGCGUGUAGGCGGUCCGGUAAGUCCGCUGUGAAAGUCGGGGGCUCAACCCUCGAAUGCCGGUGGAUACUGCCGGGCUAGAGUACGGAAGAGGCGAGUGGAAUUCCUGGUGUAGCGGUGAAAUGCGCAGAUAUCAGGAGGAACACCGAUUGCGAAGGCAGCUCGCUGGGACGUCACUGACGCUGAGACGCGAAAGCGUGGGGAGCAAACAGG